AUUGAACGCUGGCGGCAUGCUUUACACAUGCAAGUCGAACGGUAACAGGCCGCAAGGUGCUGACGAGUGGCGAACGGGUGAGUAAUGUAUCGGAACGUGCCCAGUCGUGGGGGAUAACGCAGCGAAAGCUGCGCUAAUACCGCAUACGAUCUAUGGAUGAAAGCGGGGGACCGUAAGGCCUCGCGCGAUUGGAGCGGCCGAUAUCAGAUUAGGUAGUUGGUGGGGUAAAGGCUCACCAAGCCAACGAUCUGUAGCUGGUCUGAGAGGACGACCAGCCACACUGGGACUGAGACACGGCCCAGACUCCUACGGGUGGCAG
rnacentral:rRNA from 1 species